CAGUCGCCGCGGUAAUACAGAGGGUGCGAGCGUUAAUCGGAUUUACUGGGCGUAAAGCGUGCGUAGGCGGCUUUUUAAGUCGGAUGUGAAAUCCCUGAGCUUAACUUAGGAAUUGCAUUCGAUACUGGGAAGCUAGAGUAUGGGAGAGGAUGGUAGAAUUCCAGGUGUAGCGGUGAAAUGCGUAGAGAUCUGGAGGAAUACCGAUGGCGAAGGCAGCCAUCUGGCCUAAUACUGACGCUGAGGUACAAAAGCAUGGGGAGCAAACAGGAUUAGAGACCCCGGUAGUCCCUGUCUCUUAUAA
rnacentral:rRNA from 1 species